UAAAUGUUUGUUUCUUUAAUAGUCCAUAUAAAGUCCAGCUUACAAGAGCCCAAACACAAGCCUAAGUACCUCAGACCCGUUAUACCCAAACAGACCGGUUGCUGCCCAGCAGGCCUAAAACUACCCAGCAAACCCUACUACUGCCCUAUACCCAUUUACAUCCGAAGCCCAAAUCUAAAACAGCCCAAAAGGCCCAAAGGACUUAAGGGAAGCAGGUAACCCUAGAGUUUCCUAAACACUGUGGCGCCGCAAGAGGUUCUAGAAGGUUCGGGGAGCGUCUAUUCAGUCCCCGAAAUCGAGGCCACCAUUAAUGCACUAUCCCAAGGGCCUUCAAUGCUCACCAAUGCCCCGGUCACCGGUCGUCCCUCUAUCCGGCCCCAAAUCGCUUCACAAGCAGCACGACCAUCACCGAGAUCUUCGGGUACCUGCAAAAUGAAAAAGGAAACACAGCAGAUACAAAAAAGUAGAGCAAGAAAAAGGAAACUAAAUCAAAGAUAUCUCAGCAGAUCAUGGUCAAAGAUACGGUGGAUACAGUAGACAAGAAAUGGAAAGAAAUCGAAGAUUUCUUUCCCAGUUUAUGUAAUAACAGUAGUGGCUAUAAAGCCCGAAUGCUUUCAUUGUAUAAAUGACCGAUUUUUUUUGACAGAAUAGAAAUAUACUUACAUAUAUUCAUUCAGAGAAAUACAAACAGUUUCUAAAAAAGGUGAUUUAAUCGUGUAUCUUGUUCUUUAUUUUUGAACGCAUAUAUAUGAAUUGUUUUAGCAAAAAACUGCUGAUGUUUAAAAGGAAAAGGGAUUACCUGGGUUUUGCUUGAGAUGAUGAAGGUUUUAACCUUCAGAUUAUCGCAAAACGACGGCGCGUGAAGCGCGUACGAGAAUGCAACUUGAUGACCGAAGGCCAGAGCUGGGGUCUUU
rnacentral:lncRNA from 1 species